rnacentral:rRNA from 1 species
UGGCGAACGGGUGAGUAACACGUGAGUAACCUGCCCUUGACUUUGGGAUAACUUCAGGAAACUGGGGCUAAUACCGGAUAGGAGCUCCUGCUGCAUGGUGGGGGUUGGAAAGUUUCGGCGGUUGGGGAUGGACUCGCGGCUUAUCAGCUUGUUGGUGGGGUAGUGGCUUACCAAGGCUUUGACUGGUAGCCGGCCUGAGAGGGUGACCGGCCACAUUGGGACUGAGAUACGGCCCAG